rfam:Heterocephalus glaber contig50587, whole genome shotgun sequence.
UGGCGCCCAACGUGGGGCCAGAGAACGGGGGAUCCAGUGAAAGACGCUGCUCAGGGGCCCUAAGAUUAAGAUUGAAGAACAAAGAACACACUCGACAUAAAAGAGGCCUGCGAUUGACGUGGACCCGCCGUCUUUUUACACCUCGGUGAGUUGAACAGCGAUUAUGGGACAGGACAUUAGUCAGCACAAACUGUUUGUACAAGGUCUCAAGAAGACAUUACAGACACGAGGGGUAAAGGUUACAGCCAAACAAUUGCUGAAAUUUUUUGAUUAUAUUAAAGAUCUCUGUCCCU